AUGAAGAACGUAGCGAAAUGCGAUAAGUAAUGUGAAUUGCAGAAUUCAGUGAAUCAUCGAAUCUUUGAACGCACAUUGCGCCCGCCAGUAUUCUGGCGGGCAUGCCUGUCCGAGCGUCAUUUCAACCAUCAAGCCCCGGGCUUGUGUUGGGGACCUGCGUCCGACGCAGGCCCUGAAAACCAGUGGCGGGCUCGCUGUCCACACCGAGCGUAGUAACUAACCUCGCUAUGGAGUGGCGCGGGCGCCUGCCGUAAAACCCCCAAUUUCACAAGGUUGACCUCGGAUCAGGUAGGAAUACCCGCUGAACUUAAGCAUAUCAAUAAGCGGAGGA
rnacentral:misc_RNA from 1 species